CUACACAUGCAGUCGAGCGGAAACGAGUUAUCUGAACCUUCGGGGGACGAUAACGGCGUCGAGCGGCGGACGGGUGAGUAAUGCCUAGGAAAUUGCCCUGAUGUGGGGGAUAACCAUUGGAAACGAUGGCUAAUACCGCAUAAUGCCUACGGGCCAAAGAGGGGGACCUUCGGGCCUCUCGCGUCAGGAUAUGCCUAGGUGGGAUUAGCUAGUUGGUGAGGUAAUGGCUCACCAAGGCGACGAUCCCUAGCUGGUCUGAGAGGAUGAUCAGCCACACUGGAACUGAGACACGGUCCAGACUCCUACGGGAGGCAGCAGUGGGGAAUAUUGCACAAUGGGCGCAAGCCUGAUGCAGCCAUGCCGCGUGUGUGAGGAAGGCCUUCGGGUUGUAAAGCACUUUCAGUCGUGAGGAAGGUGGUGUAGUUA
rnacentral:rRNA from 1 species